rnacentral:rRNA from 1 species
ACGAACGCUGGCGGCGUGCUUAACACAUGCAAGUCGAACGGAAAGGCCCUGCUUUUGUGGGGUGCUCGAGUGGCGAACGGGUGAGUAACACGUGAGUAACCUGCCCUUGACUUUGGGAUAACUUCACGAAACUGGGGCUAAUACCGGAUAGGAGCUCCUGCUGCAUGGUGGGGGUUGGAAAGUUUCGGCGGUUGGGGAUGGACUCGCGGCUUAUCAGCUUGUUGGUGGGGUAGUGGCUUACCAAGGCUUUGACGGGUAGCCGGCCUGAGAGGGUGACCGGCCACAUUGGGACUGAGAUACGGCCCAGACUCCUACGGGAGGCAGCAGUGGGGAAUAUUGCACAAUGGGCGGAAGCCUGAUGCAGCAACGCCGCGUGCGGGAUGACGGCCUUCGGGUUGUAAACCGCUUUCGCCUGUGACGAAGCGUGAGUGACGGUAAUGGGUAAAGAAGCACCGGCUAACUACGUG